rnacentral:rRNA from 1 species
UACAGAGGUCCCAAGCGUUGUUCGGAAUCACUGGGCUUAAAGGGCGCGUAGGCGGCUCGACAAGUCAGGGGUGAAAUCUUUCGGCUUAACCGGAAAAGGGCCUCUGAUACUGCCGAGCUCGAGGGAGGUAGGGGCGGACGGAACUUCCGGUGGAGCGGUGAAAUGCGUUGAUAUCGGAAGGAACGCCGGUGGCGAAAGCGGUCCGCUGGCCCUCUACUGACGCUGAGGCGCGAAAGCCAGGGGAGCAAACGGG